rnacentral:rRNA from 1 species
CCUACGGGAGGCAGCAGUGGGGAAUUUUGGACAAUGGGCGAGAGCCUGAUCCAGCAAUGCCGCGUGAGUGAAGAAGGCCUUCGGGUUGUAAACUGCUUUUGUACGGAACGAAAAAGCUUCUCCUAAUACGAGAGGCCCAUGACGGUACCGUAAGAAUAAACACCGGCUAACUACGUGCCAGCAGCCGCGGUAAU